UACUCCUACGGGAGGCAGCAGUGGGGAAUUUUGGACAAUGGGCGAAAGCCUGAUCCAGCAAUGCCGCGUGUGUGAAGAAGGCCUUCGGGUUGUAAAGCACUUUUGUCCGGAAAGAAAUCCUUGGCUCUAAUACAGUCGGGGGAUGACGGUACCGGAAGAAUAAGCACCGGCUAACUACGUGCCAGCAGCCGCGGUAAUACGUAGGGUGCAAGCGUUAAUCGGAAUUACUGGGCGUAAAGCGUGCGCAGGCGGUUUGCUAAGACCGAUGUGAAAUCCCCGGGCUCAACCUGGGAACUGCAUUGGUGACUGGCAGGCUAGAGUAUGGCAGAGGGGGGGUAGAAUUCCACGUGUAGCAGUGAAAUGCGUAGAGAUGUGGAGGAAUACCGAUGGCGAAGGCAGCCCCCUGGGCCAAUACUGACGCUCAUGCACGAAAGCGUGGGGAGCAAACAGGAUUAGAUACCCUGGUAGUCCACGCCCUAAACGAUGUCAACUAGUUGUUGGGGAUUCAUUUCCUUAGUAACGUAGCUAACGCGUGAAGUUGACCGCCUGGGGAGUACGGUCGCAAGAUUAAAACUCAAAGGAAUUGACGGA
rnacentral:rRNA from 1 species